CUAGGCUGUGAAUGUGAGGGGAAAAGCAAGCCCAGAGGAGUUAAGCAGCUUGACCAAGGACACACAGCAUGGCAGGAAACUGAAGUCCAGGGAGCGGCAGUCACUCACCAGGACCACACAGGGAGCCAGCGGCCCCGUCCCCCAGCUCUGGGGCAGGUGCGAGAGCAGGAAGGAGGCUCUGUGCCGUCGGAGACCUGUGCCUGCACUUCACACGUCAAGGGCUCUGCAAGGGCUCCUCUCUGGGCAUCCUUGGCCAAGCCAUGCUCCCCAUCUGCCUCUCUCUGCUCCCGUUUGUUGAUUUCCCUGGAUGUCUUCAUUCCAGCAGUCCUCGUCCCAAAUGUCUCCCUUCCCACCCAAGCCAGGCAGGCGGCUGCCCUCAGCGGGUGCUCAGGCAAAGAGCGGGAAGCCAGUGGCUUUGAUUCCGAGAUGGUCUGUCUGUUUUCUGUGCCAGGAGGUCUCCACACGGUGCAGACAAAUGCCUCUAAGACUUUAACCCCAACGCACAGUCCAGGGAAAGAAGAGUAAGGUGAGAGGAAGGACAAGCGGACAAUCAGGACAGCCUACAUGUGGUGGGACCCAGGCGGGGGCGGGGGGCAAAGGAGCCCGGGGUUUAGUGGGUCCCCCCUGAAUUCCAAAGCAUCAGGAACCAAUCACAGUAUCAAACAGCAGCUGGUGACCCCAAUCCUCCCGCGCCAGCAACAAGCCCGGCUAUUGUUUUUCCAGGAAUCCUGUCAAUCCCCUUUCCUGUAAGUAGGGCCCAUCCUCCCCCCAGGUUGGCCGAUGGACGCGGCUUGCCUCCUCCCUGUUGCUGGCCGGUGCCUCGACUUCCCCCUCCCGCUUCUCCAUUCAAAAGGAAAACGGACACAGCUUGACUUUAGUCUCCCACCCACCCAGCCACAGCCCAGAGACCCAUAAGUUCCCAUCUGGGGUCUCCUAGAGCCCCAGCUGUGAUGCCCAAGUCAGUCUCCAACCCUGGAACUUUCCCCACGUCCUGUGUCCACUCUUGUCAAACUCAGCCAGUCCUUGCCUUGCCCCUGGGUGACCAGCUCUAAGGGGUUGACGGUAGGCCACUGCCCCCUCCUUCACCUGGUGGAGGCUCAUGGGAGGAAAGUGCCUCCCUCACGGGAGCCGAGAGUGACUUAGGGUGGAAUUGCAGGCGGGCAGCUGGGAGGGGCUCCCCGGAGGCCUGGGAAGGGAUGGGGGUUCUGAAGUGCGCCUG
rnacentral:lncRNA from 1 species